rnacentral:rRNA from 1 species
AAUAGAUACCCUGGUAGUCCUAGCCCUAAACGAUGAGUGCUUGGUGUGGCGGGUAUCGAUCCCUGCCGUGCCGAAGCUAACGCAUUAAGCACUCCGCCUGGGGAGUACGGUCGCAAGGCUGAAGCUCAAAGGAAUUGACGGGGGCCCGCACAAGCGGUGGAGCAUGUGGUUCAAUUCGACGCAACGCGAAGAACCUUACCUGGGCUUGAACUGUAGAUGACAUCCGGCGAAAGUCGGCUCCCGCAAGGGCAUCUGCAGAGGUGCUGCAUGGCUGUCGUCAGCUCGUGUCGUGAGAUGUUGGGUUAAGUCCCGCAACGAGCGCAACCCUCGUCCUCUGUUGCCAUCAGGUCAAGCUGGGCACUCUGAGGAGACUGCCGGUGAUAAACCGGAGGAAGUGGGGAUGACGUCAAGUCAGCAUGGUCUUUAUGUCCAGGGCUACACACGUGCUACAAUGGCCGAUACAAAGCGUCGCAAACUCGCGAGAGUGAGCCAAUCG